rnacentral:rRNA from 1 species
CUGGCUCAGAUUGAACGCUGGCGGCGUGCUUAACACAUGCAAGCGCGCGUGAAAGGACUUCGGUCCGAGUAAAGCGGCGCACGGGUGAGUAACGCGUGGAUGAUCUACCCAUGAGUUGGGAAUAACGGCUGGAAACGGUCGCUAAUACCGAAUACGCUCCGAUUUCAUCUUCGGGGGAAAGGUGGCCUCUGCUUGCAAGCUACUGCUCAUGGAUGAGUCCGCGUCCCAUUAGCUAGUUGGUGGGGUAACGGCCCACCAAGGCGACGAUGGGUAGCCGGUCUGAGAGGAUGACCGGCCACACUGGGACUGGAACACGGCCCAGACUCCUACGGGAGGCAGCAGUGGGGAAUAUUGCGCAAUGGGCGAAAGCCUGACGCAGCGACGCCGCGUGAGGGGAAUGAAGGUCCUCGGAUCGUAAACCUCUGUCAGGAGGGAAGAACCGCCACGGUGCUAAUCAGCCGUGGUCUGACGGUACCUCCAAAGGAAGCACCGGCUAACUCCGUGCCAGCAGCAGC